CUAGAGUGUGACUUUAACUCCUUCCCGACGUUCGGGCGUGCUAUGCUGUCCUUGAAAAGGAGGCUUUAAUGCCGUUAUCGCAGCAUAGCACGUACUAAUGAUCAGGCAACCUCUAUACUUACCCUCCUCGCGGGAUCUGAUCUGGGUGACUGCCUGACAACCAAGGCCUGUCCCCCUUCAGCCAAUUCCGCCAAUCUGAGUCAUGUGAUCUCGAUGAUCCUGCAAUCGCAUGACUCG